rnacentral:rRNA from 1 species
GAUGAACGCUGGCGGCGUGCCUAAUACAUGCAAGUCGAGCGAACGGACGAGAAGCUUGCUUCUCUGAUGUUAGCGGCGGACGGGUGAGUAACACGUGGAUAACCUACCUAUAAGACUGGGAUAACUUCGGGAAACCGGAGCUAAUACCGGAUAAUAUUUUGAACCGCAUGGUUCAAAAGUGAAAGACGGUCUUGCUGUCACUUAUAGAUGGAUCCGCGCUGCAUUAGCUAGUUGGUAAGGUAACGGCUUACCAAGGCAACGAUGCAUAGCCGACCUGAGAGGGGGAUCGGCCACACUGGAACUGGGACACGGUCCGGACUCCUACGGGAGGCGGCGGUAGGGUAUCUUCGGCAAGGGGCGAAAGCCUGACGGAGCAACGCCGCGUGAGUGAGGAAGGUCUUCGGAUCGUAAAACUCUGUUAUUAGGGAAGAACAUAUGUGUAAGUAACUGUGCACAUCUUGACGGUACCUAAUCAGAAAGCCACGGCUAACUACGU